rnacentral:rRNA from 1 species
UGCCAGCAGCCGCGGUAAUACGAAGGGGGCUAGCGUUGUUCGGAAUCACUGGGCGUAAAGCGCACGUAGGCGGAUUGGUCAGUUAGGGGUGAAAUCCCAGAGCUCAACUCUGGAACUGCCUUUAAUACUGCCAGUCUUGAGUCCGAGAGAGGUGAGUGGAACUCCGAGUGUAGAGGUGAAAUUCGUAGAUAUUCGGAAGAACACCAGUGGCGAAGGCGGCUCACUGGCUCGGUACUGACGCUGAGGUGCGAAAGCGUGGGGAGCAAACAGGAUUAGAUA